rnacentral:lncRNA from 1 species
UACACACCACCUCAGUUUCCUGUGAAUGUGAAUAUGACAAUGUAGUUUUCAGUGUGCCAACUGCUCCAUAGAGAACACUGAUGAUAAUACGUAUCAUAUUCCAAGGCAGAAAAUAGACAUAUUCUUUGACUUGCAGAGGAUACAGAGUAAUACCAAGCAAGUACUUUUUACUGUAUGUCUUACAAGUAUGCAAAAUAAUUUGAACCUUAAUGGGCACAGAAAACUUGUUGGCAGCAGCCUUUGAAAGAGGAAGCACGUAGUAUAAGUCAUGUUGUGCCAGAACAUGAAUGAACACUUGCUUUUGUAUUCUGCCUAAAAAAAUAAGAGAACAUGAUUCUUAUUCUUGAAACCAGCUGGUUUCUAAAAGCAGGUCAGUUGGGAGAUAAA